UACGGGGGGGUGCGAGCGUUGUCCGGAAUCACUGGGCGUAAAGGGCGCGUAGGUGGCCUGAUAAGGGUGUGGUGAAAGUCCGGGGCUCAACCCCCGGAUCUGCCGUGCCGACUGUUAGGCUAGAGUACUGUAGGGGCAGGCGGAAUUCCGGGUGUAGCGGUGGAAUGCGUAGAGAUCCGGAGGAAGACCGGUGGCGAAGGCGGGUUGCUGGGCUGACACUGACGCUGAAGCGCGAAAGCUAGGGGAGCGAACGGG
rnacentral:rRNA from 1 species